CGCGGUAAUACGUAGGUGGCAAGCGUUGUUCGGAUUUACUGGGCGUAAAGGAUGUGUAGGCGGAUACUUAAGUGAGAUGUGAAAGCCCCGGGCUUAACCUGGGGACUGCAUUUCAAACUGGGUAUCUAGAGUGCAGGAGAGGAAAGCGGAAUUCCUAGUGUAGCGGUGAAAUGCGUAGAGAUUAGGAAGAACAUCAGUGGCGAAGGCGGCUUUCUGGACUGUAACUGACGCUGAGGCAUGAAAGCGUGGGGAGCAAACAGGAUUAGAUACCCUGGUAGUCCACGCCGUAAACGAUGAGUACUAGGUGUAGGAGGUAUCGACUCCUUCUGUGCCGCAGUUAACACAAUAAGUACUCCGCCUGGGAAGUACGGUCGCAAGAUUAAAACUCAAAGGAAUUGACGGGGGCCCGCACAAGCAGCGGAGCAUGUGGUUUAAUUCGAAGCAACGCGAAGAACCUUACCUAGACUUGACAUCUCCUGAAUAGCGUAGAGAUACGUGAAGCCCUUCGGGGCAGGAAGACAGGUGGUGCAUGGUUGUCGUCAGCUCGUGUCGUGAGAUGUUGGGUUAAGUCCCGCAACGAGCGCAACCCUUAUCAUUAGUUGCUACCAUUAAGUUGAGCACUCUAGUGAGACUGCCCGGGUUAACCGGGAGGAAGGCGGGGAUGACGUCAAAUCAUCAUGCCCCUUAUGUCUAGGGCUACACACGCGCUACAAUGGUGAGAACAACGAGAUGCAAUACCGCGAGGUGGAGCCAAACUUGAAAACUCAUCCCAGUUCGGAUUGCAGGCUGAAAUUCGCCUGCAUGAAGUUGGAGUUGCUAGUAAUCGCGAAUCAGAAUGUCGCGGUGAAUACGUUCCCGGGCCUUGUACACACCGCCCGUCACACCAUGAGAGCUGGUAACACCCGAAGU
rnacentral:rRNA from 1 species